CGCUCGGGGCGCUGCGCUCGCCGCCGUGCUCCCCGGCGACGAUGACGAACCUGCAACGGACGGAGCUGGGCGCCUCCCCACGGUCUUCCUCCUCGGCCUGCUCGUGGGUGCCGCGGUGCUUGCGGAGGCACUGCAGAUCCCCGCCGACCAGGCAACGCUGGCGCUCGGGGCGCUCGCCGCCGUGCUCCCCGGCGACGACGACGACCCCGCAACGGACGGAGCUAGGCGCCUCCCCGCCCCCAUCUGUCUACUCCGUGCAGGCCAGCUACGCCCAUCCUGGAGGCCGACAUGCCCUCUCCGUCCGAAAUCCCCUUGCCCUGGCCCUGCUCGCUACAUGGUGCUGAACAUUCAACCAAGGAGGGGUGGUGCCUCUUCUCCGGCCUGUGCAUACCAUCCCCAACGCCAACAUCAAAGAGGGAUGAUGUGAAGGGGGCGGCGGCCCGCUGGAACUGGAGGACCAGCACCGAGGGCCUGCCGCGCGGGAUCGUCGAGACGAGCUCCGACAUGUUCCUCCGCCCGCUCUGGGACUCUACCGCCAAGCACACCAACACCAAGGGCAGGGCAGACAACAUGUGCCGUCAACCGUUGAGAGUUCAGCUGUCACCAAAUGAGCAGCUUGCUGUUGAAGAAACCUUCAAGUUGUACUUGAUGUUUCAAUCUUAUAAUUGCAGGUGUAUUCACCUCAUCAUACCAUCGGUUCUAAUCAAGUUUUGCUUCUCUUAACUAGGAUGGAUGUGCUGCAGGCCACAGUCACUACCCGGAAGGAGAUGUCGGGGUUGUUAUUGACUGGGAGGAGGCAAGGAGCAGGAGGCAGCAUGGGAGGCAGCAGGAGAGCUUGUAGAUGGUGCCUCGCCAGUUGGACGGCGUUCAGGCGCAACCCCGACACGCACUGACUACUGCCUCGGCUACAACCUCCCUCGGUUAGCUCCAUCUUCCUUUUGCUCCUCUGCUUCGGCUACUGUUUGGGACAUGGCCGUGGCUAUAUUGAUGUGGUGCUCAUCUGGUUGAUGCUCUAUGCCCUACUCAUGCAUCGGUUCCUACUUGAGCUCUGUAGUUGUGGAUCCAUGCUAUCUUAGGGUUUACAGGCUGCUGUUCAUGUUUAGUUGCUAUCAUAGGAGCUCAUGUGAUACUCUGGUUACAUGUGGAUGUCCUGGUCCUAUAGCUAUGCUCCUGGAUUUGCUAGAUUGAUCGGUAGUGUUCAUGCUAGGGUGAUGAUGAUUAGCCGUUGCUGAAAUAAGUGUGCCUUUGAGCAAUCGAGACACCUGUGGGUAUCAAGUUGGAUCCUCCCUCUUAUCUCUAUAAUCCUUUUUGAUCCUGUGAUAUUUGUUGUUGUCCUUGGAUGGUCAUUCUUGUUGAGUGAUAACAAGGGCAGCUCUACUGUAUCAACAGAUUGAUCUGGUGAUAAGAGAUGACAUGAGUAUGUUAUAUGAUCGAGGAAAGGCGAAUCUGAGCCCACUAUGCAAUUAACCCUGAAACCUUUAUUUUUGUAUUUAAACGUGUUGCUUAUCCACAUCAAGAAAUAAGAGAUGGAUGUUCCACCGAGCCUCCUCAGAGCUCAGCGAUUCUCGGCCGUUGGAUCGUUUCCCUUGAUGCGUUUUCACUCGUUGGAUCGAGAUCUGGAGAAGGCUGGGCUGUUGGAUCUGGGAUCAACACUGCUGGAAUGAAUAGUUUCACUCCAUCCAUGCCACCGCGGGACGGUGCAAACCUAGCUGCCGCCUCCUCUCUCGCUUGCUCCUGCAGCCGUCUCCCUCCCUCCCAUGCAGGUGGCUCCCACCAGCCACGGCGACGGUGGCAGCGGCCACGGAGGAGGGCGGCAGAUCAACGCCGCCAGCGAUGGCGUCCGUGGCGGCCAUGCAAUGAACCCUGAACCAGUUUUUUAUUUGUAUUUAAAGGUGUUGCUUAUUUAUGCUCAAGUGGUGUUCGUGCUAGGGCGAUGAUGAUUACCUGGGUGGAAUUAGUGUGCCUUUGAGCAAUCGAGGAACCUGUGGGUAUCAAGUUGGAUCCUCCCUCUUGUCUCUAGAAUCCUUUUGGGUCAUGUGAUACUUGUUGUUGUCCUUGGAUGGUCAUUCUUGUUGAGUGAUAACCAGCGCAGCUCUACUGUAUAAACAGAUUGAUCUAGUGAUAAGAGAUGACAGUGGUAGGUUAUAUGAUCGAGGAAAGGGGAAUCUGAGCCCACUAUGCAAUAAAACUUCAGCUACCUCCCCUAAUGUGUUUAGUAUUGAAGGAAAAAGAGAACUUUUCAUGUCUUGCUGCUUCAAAAUUCCAAAAAGGUUCAUUCUUCCUUUGCUGGUUACUUCACCAUGAUUUUUUGUUUUGCUUUGGUUCUGGUUGAGAUACUAAAGGUUGUUUACUAAAGGUUGUUUAUAUAUGAAAAUAAUAGACACUUGUAGUUUUGUAUGCCUCAACUGUAGCUUAGGAUCCAGUGUUGUAAUGCAUGCUUUGCCUAAUUAAAAAUAACUCUAAUUAAUAAUAGUGGUUCUUUCCUUCUGAUUACCUCUUCCUGUUUGUAUGAGGCGCCACCUCUCUUGUCAUCCUGGUCACUGCCUAGCCACUUUCUUCGAUCCAGAGGCUUGUGCCACUACAGGAUUUGAAUGGGGUUCAUUGUGUGAAAUUGGACCCUGCACUGCUACUGUGAACUCAUCCAUGCUGACAGCCGGCUCCAUGCUACAACUGCUGCAGCCUGCAGGGCGUUGAUGUCUCAAAGCAGUAGUGUACUGAGUGACAUGAGGUGAUCGUGCAGAGUUUGACAAAUUUGAAAUGCCGCAAUUUCAACACAUUAGUCACAUUAUUUAGUAUAGGCGUUGCUAUUUUGGUAUGCCAUGCCAAUUUUCUUUUAUCAAGAUUACUUCUUCCUUUAUAAAGUUCAUGUACAUUCCUUACCAUGAACGGUGGCGUCAUGGGGUAGUACAUCAUAAGAUACCUAACAGUUUGAGUUAUUUAUGUUGACUCUGCACUGAGACAUAUGGUUUAAAUCUUCACUUGGAGGACAGAUCUAUGGCCAAAUCCUGGAGCACAUGUAUCUGUAUAUCUCGGUCAAUUUCACCGACAAAUAUCUCCGCUGCUAUAUUCGCCCAAAGCUUUAUGACUUGCCAAUAAAAUCUGCAGAUGGAAAUAUGUGUAUCAAAGCCCACCUCAUCAAAUGAGUUGAUAACAGAAUAAACCAAAGGCUGGGCAUACUUCUUCCAUGCAGCUAAUAUGAAGGAAGGAAUAAUAUAUGCCUUCGCCUUCAAGCGCUGCUACAGUCGCCUUCCUCUCACAAUGCACGCCCUCUGAAAAUCAUUUUCAAUCUACUUCGCCUUCAAGCAGUACAGUAAUCUUAGGCAUCUCACUGUCCACGCCCUCUGAACAUAUGUUCAAUUGAUGUUCAGUCUACCAAUCUACCUAAAUAGCCUAUGAAUUUGUGUGUGUAUGGCCUCUACUAGAAACCUGUUUGCUUUUGGCACUAGACUCUGCUGGUCAUGUAUAAAUUUGGAAUACAUAAUGCUAUGUUAAAUUCGUCUAAGAUAUCUAUGUCGACUGCAUCUAAUCUCUACUGUUCAA